CUAUACUGAUCAAAUAUCUUGGUGUUUUGAGUCCGAGUCAAAUGACGAUUACAGGCCCCGAUCUCCCUUUUCUCAACCUCUUUAUCCUACCAAAAGAUGGACCGUCGGCCAGCAGAUUUCAAAGGUUAUGAUCCUUUUAAUUCUAAACCAUUUGUUCUAUUAACAUCCUACUGUUAUCAACUAAACUGCCUAACCAUAAGUCUAAUUCUUAAGGUUAUUAAUAACCAA
rnacentral:lncRNA from 1 species